rnacentral:misc_RNA from 1 species
UUAACUAUUUUAUAGUACUCAGACGACAUGUAAUACAGAGUUGUGGUCCUCUGGCGGGCACGAUCCAGCCGAAGCCGGUGCUUGUGCGGCCCACCAAAGCAACAAAUUGAGAUAAUCAAGGGUGAGAAGGACCGGUUUCCCGGCUUCAUUUUUAAUGAUCCUUCCGCAGGUUCACCUACGGAAA